rnacentral:lncRNA from 1 species
ACUUGUGGGAGUUCUCAUCAGAUGUUCUCAAUUUUCCCAAGGAAGUAGGUGGAGAGGUCAUCUUUGAGAGUAAAUAGGCAGGGGAGGAAAUAGAGCUGGAGGAGAAGGCUGGCUGCUGUGGUGAAUUCCAAGACAAGGAGACCACCGAAGCAUAAUCUUGCUGUAGACAUGAUUGCUUUGGGCGUAGGCUCCCAUGUCAGUGCCAAAAACGCUAAGACUUGGAGAAAGGAGAGGAGAAAGUAGAGCUACUUCCUCUGUAUGCUUUGCUGCUUGGAAAGGAGACAGAAAAACAGCAGGAAAUGCUCACUUCUUCUCUUGGGAUCUUUCAGGGACCUCCCACCUGAACAGGACGAUUGAACUUUGCUUUGGCUGAGUUUCCUCGACUGACUUCAAUGGACCUGUUUCUAGAGGGGCAUGAAGGUGGCUGUGACUUCAUAAGCAGAAUGGCAUGCACAAAAGCACGGAGGAACACUUUAUGCCAGUUGGAUUAUGGUCCAUUGGGAGAAAGAUCAAUUAAGGUGAAACCCCAGUAGAGAAAGCACUGGAGAACAACAUUCAUUCUUCCUUAAUAAAUCUUAGUUUUAAAUAUUUGCUUUGAGUUUUGUUCCAUUAAUAAAGAAAAUAAGAAGGAAAACCA